rnacentral:lncRNA from 1 species
CCGACGACGCAAGACUUGCAAGACGGCAGCUGCCGCGUUGGCGGCCACGAGGACCACGGGCGCCAUCAAAGAAGACUGUGAAGCGGUUUCUUCAGAGGGGGGGGAAAUGUGGGAAUCGCCGCCGAUAAACCCCCUCUCCCCCAAUGACUACGACAAGAGUUGUGAUCCGACGGCAGUGCGCAUGCUCCACGCGUCAGGAGGAACGUAUAAAGAGCGACCGUGGAC